GGAGGGGGAUGCCUAAGGCAGGGCUAGUGACUGGGGUGAAGUCGUAACAAGGUAGCCGUACCGGAAGGUGUGGCUGGAUCACCUCCUUA
rnacentral:rRNA from 1 species